rnacentral:rRNA from 1 species
AUGGCCCUACGGGAGGCAGCAGUGAGGAAUAUUGGCCAAUGGUCGGGAGACUGAACCAGCCAAGCCGCGUGAGGGAGGAAGGUACAGAGUAUCGUAAACCUCUUUUGUCAGGGAACAAAGACUGGGACGCGUCCCCGGAUGAGUGUACCUGAAGAAAAAGCAUCGGCUAACUCCGUGCCAGCAGCUGCGGUAAUACGGAGGAUGCGAGCGUUAUCCGGAUUUAUUGGGUUUAAAGGGUGCGUAGGCGGUCUGUUAAGUCAGCGGUAAAAUUGCGGGGCUCAACCCCGUCGAGCCGUUGAAACUGG